rnacentral:hammerhead_ribozyme from 1 species
AUCCAGAUGACGAGUCCCAAAUAGGACGAAAUGCGCAUUUCGGAU